UACAGAGGUGACAAGCGUUGUUCGGAAUUACUGGGCGUAAAGGGCGCGUAGGCGGGUAUUCAAGUCGGUUGUGAAAUCCCCCAGCUCAACUGGGGAACUGCAUCCGAUACUGUCUGUCUUGAGGACGAGAGGGGAGAGUGGAACUUCUGGUGGAGCGGUGAAAUGCGUAGAUAUCAGAAGGAACGCCGGUGGCGAAAGCGACUCUCUGCCUCGUAUCUGACGCUGAGGCGCGAAAGCUUGGGUAGCAAACGGG
rnacentral:rRNA from 1 species